rnacentral:misc_RNA from 1 species
GAAAUGCGAUAAGUAAUGUGAAUUGCAGAAUUCAGUGAAUCAUCGAAUCUUUGAACGCACCUUGCGCUCCUUGGUAUUCCUUGGAGCAUGCCUGUUUGAGUAUCAUGAAAUCUUCAAAGUAAAUCUUUUGUUAACUCAAUUGGUUUCUACUUUGGUAUUGGAGGUCUUUGCAGCUUCACACCUGCUCCUCUUUGUUCAUUAGCUGGAUCUCAGUGUUAUCCUUGGUUCCACUCGGCGUGAUAAGUUAUCUAUCGCUGAGGACACUGUAAAAGGUGGCCAAGGUAAAUGCAGAUGAACCGCUUCUAAUAGUCCAUUGACUUGGACAAUACUUUUAUGAUCUGAUCUCAAAUCAGGUAGGACUACCCGCUGAACUUAAGC